rnacentral:rRNA from 1 species
CCUACGGGAGGCUGCAGUAGGGAAUAUUGCUCAAUGGGGGAAACCCUGAAGCAGCAACGCCGCGUGGAGGAUGAAGGUUUUCGGAGUGUAAACUCCUUUUGUUAGAGAAGAUAAUGACGGUAUCUAACGAAUAAGCACCGGCUAACUCCGUGCCAGCAGCCGCGGUAAUACGGAGGGUGCAAGCGUUACUCGGAAUCACUGGGCGUAAAGAGCUCGUAGGCGGGAUAGCAAGUCAGAUGUGAAAUCCUAUGGCGUAACCAUAGAACUGCAUUUGAAACUGUUAUUAUAGAGUAUGGGAGAGGUAGGUGGAAUUCUUGGUGUAGGGGUAAAAUCCGUAGAGAUCAAGAGGAAUACUCAUUGCGAAGGCGACCUGCUAGAACAUAACUGACGCUGAUGCACGAAAGUGUGGGUAUCGAACAGGAUUAGAUACCUCAGUAGUC